UACGUAGGGGGCAAGCGUUGUCCGGAAUUACUGGGCGUAAAGGGCGCGCAGGCUGUUAUGCGAGUCUGCUGUGAAAUGUACCGGCUCAACCGGUGCCUUGCGGCGGAUACUGCAUAGCUGGAGUACUGGAGAGGGAAGUGGAAUUCCCAGUGUAGCGGUGAAAUGCGUAGAUAUUGGGAAGAACACCGGUGGCGAAGGCGACUUGCUGGGCAGCAACUGACGCUGAGGCGCGAAAGCCAGGGGAGCAAACGGGGAUUAGA
rnacentral:rRNA from 1 species